GGUCAGUGAUGAGCAGUAAAAGGUCUGAUUACCCAUAAUCCUCCCCUGGUGCCCUCUGGCUCCCAGCAGGCACUGCUACAAGCUCCCAUCCUGCUCUAGUGAUGCACUGAUGGCUGCACAGCUGCUGACAGACAGGAUGUGACAUCACAAAAUGAGUCUGCACAGAGAGAACACAGACUCACUGAUGAGACAUCCAACAUAAUCAAUCAGCAAGGAGUGCCAGGCUGAGGGGGAGGAGGGGCCUGAUCUCAAGUUUUCAACCUGAGACC